rnacentral:lncRNA from 1 species
GAAAACUUACCGUGAUCAAAAGACUAUUUAACCAUAUAUAUUUAUUCAUUUUACAUUUGUAUUCUUUUUACUAAUAUUUUUUUUUUGAUCAUGUAGAGAUGUUAAAGGAUAUCAUAUGUUGCAUGAAUUUAGAAGUAAAAUUCAGAAAAUAAAAAACAUCUAAAGUAAAUGUUAUUCUUUGUGACAUUUAUAUAUGUAUGUUGUUGAUAUUGAAGUUUGAAUGUUGUUGUUGUUGUU